GACUGAGUAGUGUAAGGGUUACACAUCUGCACGAUAUUUGUGGUACAAUACACAAUAUUUCUGCAGAGCACUCGGGUUCAAUUCCCACCUCAGGCA